AUUUGUGUAAUAUAAAAAUUAUAUUUGACUUCCAAUCAAAAAAUCUAGCAAUAGCAUAAAUA
rnacentral:tRNA from 1 species